rnacentral:lncRNA from 1 species
GCUAACAUGAAAAAGACCUGACUUCCCUUUCUUCCUUUAAGUUGAAUCAAGUGAACUUUCAGGCAGGCACCAGGGUAAAGCCUGCCUGCCAAUUCUUUGUAAACAGUGAGGCUUCCUGCAGUGUUAUGGGCUGUCGGGGGAGAAGGCAUUGUGAACUAGCACCCAUUGUGACGGUCUACAAGGUGAGAAGUCGAUUAUCCCACCUAGGGUGCCAGGAGCAGGAGUGAAAGGUCAGACACAGGGCCAGGAAUAAUUGCCUGACACAGGGACAGUCCGCAGGGAAUACCAGGAGCCCCCUGGGCAAGAGGUCAGUGGGAAUGGGGGGUAGGGGCGAGGGAAGACCUACCAGAAAAUGAUUCUUGGAUGGGCGGGUAGAUGAAUGGUUGGAAUCCUGUAGCCUCAUGCCCCUGGCUGGGACUAGAGGAUCUGGUAGACUUGGAUAAUUGGUGCUGAGUCCCUACCCUGAUGCUAACAGCUUCUCCAGUCCCCAUCUUUGACUGUUGCUUCUCCCCUGGGGCCAGGAUGGCCCGUUCGGCCCCAUGGCAGUUCUUCUCCCAACGUCUGGACUGUAGCCACCUCUCCCCAUCCUGAGUUGGAGGGUUUCCCCAGGGCCGGCUGCAACCUCAGCCCACAUCACCCCACUGGGGCAGGUUGGCAGGGCCUGAGUAACACGAAGGAGUCCUCUGUGUGUCCUACCCCAGACCCCUGCUCUUCCCACCUUCUCCUCUUAUUCCUCCUUUUUCUGCCCCCCCGGGUGGUAAGUUAGGGCCCCAAAUUGAGGCCAUGUCUCCUGCCUUCCUUCCCCCAGAGCCUGGCCUGCCUUCUUGGUGGCCCCGUCUCCACCUCUGUGUGCGGAGCCCAGCCAGGGUGUUGAAGUGCCUUUGGCAGAGUCGAGAGUCUCAGACAAGAUGCCCUGCCUGAGCCCAGUGUUCCUGAGCCCCCCUGGUGGCAUGGGGGUGUCCAAAGAUCUCGGCCAGGGAGCUCGUUUGCUGGGCUGCAGGCUCAGCCUGGUCUCAGCAGUGGCCGGCCUUGGGAGAGCUGUUGGAAUCCAAUCAGCAGUCAGGAAGAUGGAGCUCUUUGGGCAGCUGGGAGGCCCCAGGCUGGAAUGCAGGAACCUGGGUUCAUGUCCCUGGCUUGGCCACAAACAGCCUUACCCGACCCCAUGCUGUGACUUGGAAGCCCCACGACCUCCUGCCAGCUUCAUGCCUCACUGCACCUGCCUCUGCUGCAUGGGACACCUAUGACCAUGCCCCUCGGCUUCCUUGACCCAACCAUCAUCACCCGUCCUCGGCCUCCCAUUAAAUGAUGGUGGUCCCCAGAGCUUGGGUCCUGACUCCCUUUUCACUCUUAGUGGCAACUCUUAGGCAGCACUUAGUGGGCUCGCAGCACAAUCUCUGUGGGAGGAGACAGAGAUGUCACACACAGGCUCUGAUACUCCCACCAUCUCCCCACACCCACCCAGCUGAGCACCAGUCUCUGUUCACCAGCUAAUUGCCAGGAGACCCAAAUCCCUCGUUUGAGCCCCACCCCUGUCUAGCCAACCAUCUGCUGGACUUCUCCACAGUGAUGCCUCACAGAUGCUUUGCAGUCAGCCAGUCCAAAACCAAGCUCAUCCCUGUCUUCUAGGUCUUUGUAAAAGGUACCACCAUCUCCCCAACUGCCCAAACCACAAACCUAAGUAGGAAUAAGCCUCUUCUGCAGAGACCACUCCCAUCUCGAGCUGGUCUGCCCCAG